AACGAACGCUGGCGGCAGGCCUAACACAUGCAAGUCGAGCGAGCCCUUCGGGGUGAGCGGCGGACGGGUGAGUAAGGCGUGGGAACGUGCCCUUUGGUUCGGAAUAGCCCUGGGAAACUGGGAGUAAUACCGGAUGAGCCCUUUGGGGGAAAGAUUUAUCGGCGAAGGAUCGGCCCGCGUUGGAUUAGGUAGUUGGUGGGGUAAUGGCCUACCAAGCCGACGAUCCAUAGCUGGUUUGAGAGGAUGAUCAGCCACACUGGGACUGAGACACGGCCCAGACUCCUACGGGAGGCAGCAGUGGGGGAUCUUAGACCAUGGGGGAAGCCCUGAUCGAGCCAUGCCGCGUGAGCUAUGAAGGCCUUAGGGUUGUAAAGCUCUUUCAGCUGGGAAGAUAAUGACGGUACCAGCAGAAGAAGCCCCGGCUAACUCCGUG
rnacentral:rRNA from 1 species